GAAUGCUGACAUAAGUAACGAUAAAGCGGGUGAAAAGCCCGCUCGCCGGAAGACCAAGGGUUCCUGUCCAACGUUAAUCGGGGCAGGGUGAGUCGACCCCUAAGGCGAGGCCGAAAGGCGUAGUCGAUGGGAAACAGGUUAAUAUUCCUGUACUUGGUGUUACUGCGAAGGGGGGACGGAGAAGGCUAUGUUGGCCGGGCGACGGUUGUCCCGGUUUAAGCGUGUAGGCUGGUUUUCCAGGCAAAUCCGGAAAAUCAAGGCUGAGGCGUGAUGACGAGGCACUACGGUGCUGAAGCGACAAAUGCCCUGCUUCCAGGAAAAGCCUCUAAGCAUCAGGUAACAUCAAAUCGUACCCCAAACCGACACAGGUGGUCAGGUAGAGAAUACCAAGGCGCUUGAGAGAACUCGGGUGAAGGAACUAGGCAAAAUGGUGCCGUAACUUCGGGAGAAGGCACGCUGAUAUGUAGGUGAAGCGACUUGCUCGUGGAGCUGAAAUCAGUCGAAGAUACCAGCUGGCUGCAACUGUUUAUUAAAAACACAGCACUGUGCAAACACGAAAGUGGACGUAUACGGUGUGACGCCUGCCCGGUGCCGGAAGGUUAAUUGAUGGGGUUAGCGGUAACG
rnacentral:rRNA from 1 species